CAAAGAUGGAGAAAGAUGAAGAUUUUUUCUUUCUAUCGCAUAUUUGUUUUUAAAAUUUACUCUGUAUUUGUGUGUGUGUGCGUGUUUGUGCUAUUUAUUGAUAAUUGUAAAUCAGGAGAAAUGUGUAUGUUCUGACAGACAUUUCAGGUGCUGGCAAAAACCCUACAGGCCUACAAGGAAUUGCCCAUGCUGUAUUAUGCUGGCAAGUGCUCACGCUCUUUUGACGACAGUGAUGGUCAAGAAAUCCAGAGAAAAGAAAAAAAACAAGGAUAGUGAUAUGAAGAUUUGGAUAUCCAGGUCUCAGUGAAGUUCUAAUGACAUUUGGCGCCACAAGAUGGCAGUGUAAGCGCGGGAAAGGGAAAGGAAGUCCUUUUUGAGACAUUUUAACAGGUCCGUAAGAGCUUCUCUCUCUCUCUAUUUCUGCUUUUACCCUUUAGUGAUCCAUUUACUGCGGCAAUGGAGUUUUAUUUUCAACUCGGAGCCCAUUGUCUUACAACAUCUCAAACACAGCUUUUUAAAUCCACCAUCAUUUACACCUGUGGAGAAAAAAAAUGAGGACAUGAAGAGUUCUAACUGCAUACUUGGCUAAU